AAUUCAAAAAUGAAUGCUAAAUAGGCUAAUAAACUUUAACUUAAUACAUGCUUUGAAAUAUUUAAGCUUUACCUGAAUUAAUUGCUCCCAAACCUCCAUUGUAGCUUCAAACAUCUUUGUUAGAGGAUUCCAAACAAAGCCACUAGGACCAUGAAAUAAAUCUUUGCACUCAACAAAGGUUCAUUUUAUUGUCUUCAUUCGAUUUUUAAUGUUUGAUUUUUGAAUAUGUGGACCAAAGGAGUUCCUUAACACCUUUAAUAUAUUAUCAAAAGCUCUAGAAUUCCAUGUUCCAUCAAGCCAAUUCCCUUUAUGUUCUUCUUCCAA
rnacentral:misc_RNA from 1 species